rfam:Saccharomyces cerevisiae AWRI796 chromosome XI, whole genome shotgun sequence.
GUUUAUGAUGAGACCACGUCCUUAGUGACAAUGCUAUAAACCCAGCUCUUCGAUUCGUUUUUAAUGAAAGGGAGAAGAWUUUUUUUGUCAAACGCUCUGAGU